rnacentral:misc_RNA from 1 species
GGUCAAGUCGACGGAAAUUUGGUUAGAUUGACGCGUUGGCGUGUGAGUGGCUAAUUGAAUGUAUGUGUUGGCUGGCUCCCUGCUUGCGCAGCGAACUGUUGCCGCAUACAUAUUUCAGUCGGAAUCGGUGACGUGUUGUGUCGGAUUUUUGUGUUGCCAACC